rnacentral:lncRNA from 1 species
AGGAACAUAAACAAUAUUUUAAAAAAUAGAAAAUAAAAUUUCGAUUUUUCGGUUAACUGUAGCAGAAUUGCAGAAACUAGAAAGCAUGAACCGCAACCAAACUAGAAAACUUAAGAUUUUACCGGUUCGGUUAACCAAACUGGAAAAUUAAAAAAUGUCAUUUUGGUUAACCUGAAAAUCGAAGUGUUCGAUGAAAAGUUAGUUUUCUUUGCUGCUUGUAAAGGUGGUGUUUGCAAUAUCACUCUUGUAUCGAAUGCUAAUUAAGUGUAAUGGGUGUGUAAUAACAUAUUGAUCCCAAGAACUGCUAUGCUACGGAUUCACUGAUUUCUAAAAUCUGUUUGUUGAUUUCCAAUACUUAAUACUUAUCCUGGAAAAGUAGUUCAAAAAGGUAAAAUGGUUAUUUGCAUGAUUCAGCACAAUCAGCAGAUUUUUCAGAGCUUCUGUCAGAUUCAGGCAUCUAUUGGAUUGAAAUCUUAAUCAAACAGACCCUACCAAACAACCCCUUACUCUUUUUUGACUCGUUAAAAACUCAGCAUCAGCCAGUCUUAAUAAUCCAAAACUUAAAUCCAUGACAAACUCAAACUAAAGUAUAGGGAAGUUAAGCAAUCAUCAUACAAAAAAAAAAAAAAAAAAAAAAAAAAAUUUUUUAAAAAAAAAAAAAAAAAAAAAAACAUCUUUUAACAGAUACAACCAUUGUCUACUUUGUCUUCAAUGACAGGUCAAAGUUUCAAUCCAGAAUCCCAAAUCAACA